CGCGGUAAUUCCAGCUCCAAUAGCGUAUACUAAAGUGUUGCAGUUAAAAAGCUCGUAGUUGGAUUUCUGGCGGGGACGGCUGGUCGGUCUCGAAAGGGGCUGUACUGUUGUUGGUUCCCGUCAUCCUUGGGGAGAGCGGCUCUUACAUUAAGUUGUCGGCGUCGGGAUCCCUAUCUUUUGCUGUGAAAAAAUUAGAGUGUUCAAAGCAGGCUUAGGCCCUGAAUACAUUAGCAUGGAAUAAUAAGAUACGACCUUGGUGGUCUAUUUUGUUGGUUUGCACGCCAAGGUAAUGAUUAAUAGGGAUAGUUGGGGGUAUUCGAAUUCAAUUGUCAGAGGUGAAAUUCUUGGAUUUAUGGAAGACGAACUACUGCGAAAGCAUUUACCAAGGAUGUUUUCAUUAAUCAAGAACGAAAGUUAGGGGAUCGAAGAUGAUUAGAUACCAUCGUAGUCUUAACCAUAAACUAUGCCGACUAGGGAUCGGUGGGUGCAUUUUUAGGCCUCAUCGGCACCUUAUGAGAAAUCAAAGUCUUUGGGUUCCGGGGGGAGUAUGGUCGCAAGGCUGAAACUUAAAGAAAUUGACGG
rnacentral:rRNA from 1 species